rnacentral:rRNA from 1 species
AUGCAACUCGUCACCUGCGGCCGGACGGCGGUCAACAUCAAUGGUGAGAUCGGGCCCUACUUCCCCACCUUAUGCGGGGUGCACCAAGGAGACCCGUUCUCCCUGUUUCUCUUUAACAUGGUGGUCGAUGCCCUUGCUGUCAUCCUAGAUAAGGCCAAGGCCUGCGGCCAUAUUCGGGGUGUGGUUCCUCACCUUGUUGGUGCGGGAGGGGUCUCCCUCCUCCAGUAUGCAGACGACACCAUUAUCAUGGUU